GAUGAAGAACGCAGCAAAAUGCGAUACUUGGUGUGAAUUCCAGAAUCCCGUGAACCAUCGAGUUUUUGAACGCAAGUUGCGCCCGAAGCCAUUAGGCCGAGGGCACGCCUGCCUGGGUGUCACACGUCGUUGCCCCCCCAUCUACUCCUUCGGGAUUGCGGGGGGCGGAUGAUGGCCUCCCGUGCGCCUCGUCGCGCGGUUGGCAUAAAUGCCAAGUCCUCGGCGACGCACGCCACGACAAUCGGUGGUUGCGAAACCUCGGUUGCCCGUCGUGUGCGGUCGUCGCGCAUCGAGGGCUCGAAAAAAUUGCCGGGCUCCGGCUCGGCUUUCAACGCGACCCCAGGUCAGGCGGGGUUACCCGCUGAAUUUAAGCAUAUCAAUAAGCGGAGGA
rnacentral:misc_RNA from 1 species